CUCUGGAGCGCCGCACGGCCUCGGCUCCAGGCGCCUCGGAGUCCGUGGCCCCCUCGGGAGGCGUGGAGAGUGCUGAGGGUGGUGAAUCGCUCCCGGCCCGCCCACUUUUAAUGGGCAAGAGAGCGGCCCGGUAGGAAGCCUCUGCUGGGGAUGGAUGUUUGUGCGGGCCAAUCGGUGAAGGCCCGGGCGGGUCCGCACGUGCGCCUUCGCCAAUACGCGCGCAGCGGGGGUCCCGAGUGGAAGGAGAAAGUUUUCGGGGUUAAAGGGACCGCGGUGCACCCCAGGGACCCAAGCGCCGGGGUCCCAGAGACUUCAGCAGAAGGUCGGGGGUGCCAGUGCUGAGAGCCCGGCCCGCGUGAACAGACCGGGCGGCGCUGUGGAACUCCACCCCAAACAGCUUGAUCAGGGCCAGAGUUUCGCCUGUGCCUAGACAACUGGCUUCCCGUGCCAGCCCCACAAGGGACUUGAGGACAUGAGAACCAUCGCAGCUGAUGGAGCGCUGGCGAGUACUGUGGGGGCUGCCGUGUGCAAGGACGAGGGAAGGGAGUGGGCAGGGGAGAGG